UCCGAUAACAUCUAAGGUUUUGUCGCUAUUUAAAUUGAAUACAUUGUUUUUAUUAAAAUUGUAAUUUGGGCCUAAACGGUAAAUACUAGCCAAAAGAGUUACUAAAAUAAUUGAUAUAGAAUUACAUUAUCUAUCAGUAUCCGAUUAAGAAUUUAAUAAAAAUUAAUAGUUCCAUGCAUAGUACGAGUACAAUUCUUCUCAUGUUCUGCACUACCACACUGAAAGUAUCAGUGUUUACAAACAAACAAGUUUCUUUAUCUCCUGCAGUUUUGUGCGGUCGCCACGCGGUUGGUGUGCGUACCACGUUAGUUUCAUUUGUGUCGUCAGGUGAUCUGGACGCACAUUUUCGUUACAAUAUUUUGAGCUCCCUAAUUUUGUGUCGCGUUAUUACGUACUGUUUCUAAAUGCUCCUUCAAUUGUGCGCGAGUGAUGUGCUGCGUUCGAUAAGCGAGGAUUGUACACACGCAGAGGUAAAGCGUGAGUGAUUUUCCGUCGGCCGUCAGAUACUCUUUUUGUAUCAUACGCGUACUUCAUAUUUAUUUCGUAUUUUCUUUGGAUAUGCCAAACGCGCAAAAAUAAAAUAUAAAAGAACAUCUGAUUCUACAGACUUUAUCUUAAUAAAAUUUUGUUUUAAAAUAAAGCUUUUUGAUAAUAAUAACCCUAACUAAAGAUUUGUCGCUAUUCAAAUUAAAUACAUUUUUUAUUAAAAUGGUAAAUUGGGCUUAAACGGUAAAUACUAGCCAAAAAAGUUACGAAAAUAAUCGAUAUACAAUUAAAUUAUCUAACCGAAUCCGGACAGAAUUUAAAAAUUUCAAAUUGUAAUUUCGAGAAUAAAAAACGAAAUCUUUUGCUUUUUUCAUAACAAACUAUUUUUGUUAAAUUUUUUUAUGCGUUUUUGAACGUUUUUUAAAAAGGGUGCCAUCUUGUAGAGAAUUCUUUAAGGAUCAACAAUAUGAAGUCCUUUUUUCCGUAUCCCUUUUAGUUCUCGAGAUAAUCGCAAUUUAAUCUCGCCGCUUUUACAUAAAAAAUUAAAGAAAAAAGUUCGACUCUGGUGUUCGACCUAAAAUUUUUUAAGAAAAUAAGUUUGGCUCUGUCCUUCGACCAAAAAAAUUCUGUCUAGCAGGCGAACAAAUUGUCCUAGAACAACAAUUCCUUCAUCAGAUUCGGGCGAACGGAAUGUCCUAGGACAGCGAUUCUUUUAUCAGAUUGUGUCUAGCGGGCGAACGAAAUGUCCUAGGGCAACGAUUCUUUCAUUAGAUUGUGUCCAGCAGGCGGACGAAAUGUUUAAGACAACGGUCCUAUUAUGAUAUUGUAAGUAUUGAAAUUGUUUCUCAUUUUUGUAAAUAAUUUUCAUGUCUCAUACAUUGAAAUGUAAAUUAAAUUAGUUAUUUUAAAUAUUAGCAGACGCAUUACAGAUUUCGUAGUAAUUUAUUUCAAGUUUCUGGUCCCAAAACUAGAUGUUGCCACUGUCAGGCUAUCUAAUAUAUUUUGCUCCGUCACACCCAGAUGGCGCUCGUGUCAGCUAUCUAUUUUGUUUUGUGCCGCCACGGCCAGAUGGCGCCUCCAUCGAUUUGGUUUGAAAUCUUACUUAAUUUUUGUUUAGUUUUUGGUGCAGAGUUGCGGAGGGCACGUCACUUUUAUACAUAACUUUAGUUAAGUUAAGUUAGUUAAGUUUAACAAAACGAAAAAUAACUAAAGUUCAAUUUUUGAUUGCUUUAAUUUUCGGUUGCUUUAGGUGUCUAGCGGGCGAACGCGAUGUCGUAGAACCACCAUUCUUUCAUAAGUAUUCAAAUUGUAUACUAUUGUUAUAUACAUUAUUUGUGUUUAAUACUAGCGGAAUCCACAAAUGUCGUAUUUUUCCACAAUACGUUAACUAAAAUCCUUUCUUCCAAAUAAUGUUGUUUGUAAACUGAUAACUUUAUUUUAUAACUUGCAAUAUAUUUGUAAUAGCAUUUUUAUCGUGCGCAGGUAGAAGAAUGCCCUCCAACUGCGGAUCGGUUAUCAAUUCUCUUACCCGCUUAGUCAGACUUAGUCAGUUGAGCGCUGCCUCGUGGUGCGCACGUGUUUUAUUCAUUAAUCAAGCAUGGUGACGAUUUUACGCGUUUCUUAAUAUGUUAAUUUUGCAGUAAUGAUUUGAGUAAUCCUUUGCGGUGCGUGCAUGGCGUCCGUCGGAUAUGUUCCACCGGUGGCUAUGUGUUUGAUGUGAGUACAAGUUUUCCAUUUGUGAUGUACGCGUGGAAUAGUAAAGAAGUGCGUAUCAUCAAUUCAGCUUACAAUUUGCGGAAACGUGUUUGUGCGCUUUAGUUCUUUAUGGAUAGAAGAACA